rnacentral:rRNA from 1 species
UACGAGAGGCCCAAACGUUAUUCGGAAUUACUGGGCUUAAAGAGUUCGUAGGCGGCGCAGAAAGUAGGGUGUGAAAGCCCUCGGCUUAACCGAGGAAUUGCGCUCUAAACUACUGUGCUUGAGGAACCUAGAGGUGAGCAGAACAGAUGGUGGAGCGGUGAAAUGCGUUGAUAUCAUCUGGAAUACCGGAGGCGAAGGCGGCUCACUGGGGGUUUCCUGACGCUGAGGAACGAAAGCCAGGGUAGCGAACGGG